UGCGCAGGGCGUGUUUCAUGACGAUGUCGCUGAACUUCACGCCUUUCAGGCGGGCGGUGCGGAUAUAUUGCGCCGUCAUCACCUCGGCCAUCGAGGCGCGGGUCAUGCGGGCGAUAUAGCCCAUGCCGUAAAGCGCGAUCGUCAGCACGGGCAGGAAGAAAUUGUUGAAGGUCGCAUCC
rnacentral:ncRNA from 1 species